rnacentral:rRNA from 1 species
GAGGCAGCAGUGGGGAAUCUUGCACAAUGGGGGAAACCCUGAUGCAGCGACGCCGCGUGGAGGAUGAAGGCCUUCGGGUUGUAAACUUCUUUUGUAGGGGAAAAUAAUGAUGGUACCCUAUGAAUAAGCCACGGCUAACUCUGUGCCAGCAGCCGCGGUAAGACAGAGGUGGCGAGCGUUGUUCGGAAUUACUGGGCUUAAAGGGCGCGUAGGCGGUGAUACAAGUCUGGGGUGGAAUUUCACGGCUUAACCGUGGGACUGCCCUGGAAACUGUAUUACUUGAGUCGGUGAGGGGAAGGCGGAAUUCCUGGUGUAGCAGUGAAAUGCGUAGAUAUCAGGAGGAAGGCCUGUGGUGAAGACGGCCUUCUGGCACUUGACUGACGCUGAGGCGCGAAAGCG